rnacentral:siRNA from 1 species
UUGAUCCGCCUGAUACGUUUGAUC